GAUGAACGCUGGCGGCGUGCCUAAUACAUGCAAGUCGAGCGAACAGACGAGGAGCUUGCUCCUCUGACGUUAGCGGCGGACGGGUGAGUAACACGUGGAUAACCUACCUAUAAGACUGGGAUAACUUCGGGAAACCGUAGCUAAUACCGGAUAAUAUAUUGAACCGCAUGGUUCAAUAGUGAAAGACGGUUUUGCUGUCACUUAUAGAUGGAUCCGCGCCGCAUUAGCUAGUUGGUAAGGUAACGGCUUACCAAGGCAACGAUGCGGAGCCGACCUGAGAGGGUGAGCGGCCACAGUGGAACUGAGACACGGUACAGACUCAUACGGGAGGCAGCAGUAGGGAAUCUUCCGCAAUGGGCGAAAGCUUGACGGAGCAACGCCGCGUGAGUGAUGAAGGUCUUCGGAUCGUAAAACUCUGUUAUUAGGGAAGAACAAAUGUGUAAGUAACUAUGCACGUCUUGACGGUACCUAAUCAGAAAGCCACGGCUAACUACG
rnacentral:rRNA from 1 species